rnacentral:lncRNA from 1 species
CAGCCGCAUUCUCAGAUCCUUCACCAUCACCUGCAGCAGGAUGGCCAGACGGGCAGCGGGCAACGUAGCCAGACCAGCUCCAUCCCGCAGAAGCCCCAGACCAACAAGUCUGCCUACAACAGCUACAGCUGGGGGGCCAACUGAGGCCCUGACCCUCUUCUCCCGGUCCCAUCUUCUGAGAGGGCUUCUCAGCCUGGAAACUAUGGAAACAGCAUCAAAGAGAAAGGAAUGUGGGGGGUUUCCGCUGCCCCCCACCCCCAGCGGCCCACCCCAUGCCUCAGCUUCAUGUCUGUCCCAUUCCUAUACCAUCCCCACCCUGUUGUAUGUAUUAUAGGAUUUGUAUUUUCUCCUUUUUUUUCCCCCUUCCAUUCCUUCUCCCCUCUUGCAUUCAAGAUUAUGAAACUUUGCUAUGGGCCCUGCACUUCCUUUGCUUCCUCCUGUUCACCCUGGUGGUGUACGGAUGAGGCGGGGAGGUGGGACCCCCAAACAUAUAUCAGCCCAACAGCCCUAAGUCUCCUUCUUUAUUAUUAGGAAAACAACAACAACAACAAACAAAAAAAUGGCGUCAUGAAUAUGAACAGCAUUGUCAGAUGAAUUAGUUGAAGUGGUUUUUUUUUUGUUUUUUUUUUUUUUUUGUACUGUGUCCUCAAAUUUAAUGGAUUAAUGUGUCUUGUAUAUAUAAAAAGAAAACCUCUACCU